ensembl:lncRNA
AUAAGAUUGUGAUCAUAAAAUGGAGUCAAUUUUCUAUUCACAGCAAGCAGAAGCACAGAUAACCCCCCCACUCCAAAAAUACUCACUCGUGCAACUGGAUUUUAUCGUGUGUUUUACUCAAAUAACAAGCACCCAGGUUGAGGGUAAGAAGAGACAAGAUGUCUACAAAUGUUCUCUACUAUCGUUUUACUUAGAUUAACAUGGGAGAAUGAAUUGCUCUGCCCAACCACCUCUUAGGAAUGAUUGCAGUCUGGAAGAAAGCUGAAUGCCAACCUGAGAUGAAAGUUCAGCUGUAUAUAAUACAAAUGUCAAGCAAUCCCGAUUCUUAUAAAAAGUCAUCUUGGAGGGGGCGGUCCUAAGAUGGUGGAGGAAUAGGAUGGGGAGACCACUUUCUCCCACACAAAUUCAUCAAAAGAACAUUUCAACGCUGAGUAAAUUUCACAAAACAACUUCUGAAUGCCGGCAGAGGACAUCGGGCACCCAGAAAAGCAGCUCAUUGUCUUCGAAAACAGACAAAUACAGAGCACCAGCCAACAUUGGAAGUCAACAUUAAUGUCGAUCAACAAUUGACUAUCCACGGGGACUUGGCAAUGAAGCAGUCACUCAAGACAUUUUUUAACAUUGUAGAAAACAUUGGUCUUGCUUCUAAGAGACUUCAACUGAAGUCUUCGUCAGUAAGUAUCUAAGGAAGUUCAGCUACUUCGCAUACCCACCUGUCUCCAUGACACACACAGUUUUACAACAUUCAAAGCACCCCCGAAAUUGAGGUGCUAAAGACCUUACUAAUAUGACCCCCUCUUCCACUGUUUUUGUUUGCCACUAGCAUGAAUGAAUCUUCAGCCAAAAAGCUACCACAAUUGUACAGCUUUACAAGCAAAGGAAAAAUAGAGAUUAAAAAAAUGCCUAAAGGAAAAAGGUGAAUGAAAGUAAAACUGUCCUCCUAAAUGAGAAGAAUAAUAAUGUUAUUAGUGUUUGGAAUAGUGUUUACUUCAUCUGUCUAUGAAAAGAGAGAUUACUAAAU